ACCUGGCUGGCUCAGUUGGUAGAGCAUGAAACUCUUGAUCUUGGGGUUGUAAGUUCAAGCCCCACAUCAGGUG
rnacentral:tRNA from 1 species